CUUAUCGUAAAUGGACUGGUUCUUGUGUAGUGGUUUUCUACCCUACCUGAGUAUUCAAACUGGUUUAUAGAGCACUUACCCAUUUAUACAAGUGCUGAUUGGAGCUUUGUUCAAACUGUAUUUCUGAAAGAGAUCAGAAAUUUCUGGAAACUUCAAAUUCAAACAAAUUUUCUUCUUUUAUAUAAAUGUCCAUUUCUUUUGGCAUAAAAAACAAUUAUGAAAUGGUUGAUUAGAUUCUGUCAUGGUGUAGUGUAUUUGACCAUGGUUUCUGAGUUUGUUUGGACUUUUUCUUCCUUUGAAAUUAUGAGAUGUUGAUGUUUAGUUGUUGAGCCUCUGAGUUUUAGUUACUCAUGUUUCUAGGUUGUGGUUGUUGUUUGCUUUUGUGUCUGUUCCUUUUGUGUGUCCAGUCAGUGUUCCGUCUUCAGCAUCUCCUGUUGUCUCUCUAAAAUAUGUUUUAGAGAGAUGUUUUGUCUCCCCAGUCUGUCAGGUGUCUCCACGUCUGUUUAUCACCUGUCCUAGUGUCAUGCUAAUGUGUCUUUGUCUGAGUCUCAGUGUGCACAUUACUUCUUGUUUUAUGUUGACAGUCCUUCGUCUCGUGUUUUGUGUUCAGUUUUACUUCCCCUCUUGCUCGUUAAUUGACUCAGUUCACCUGCACCUUUAUUUCCCAGCUGUGUCUUAUUCCCUGAUUACCUCAUAUGUAUUUAAGCCCUACGUUUUCCUUAGUUCUUUGUUGUCUUCAGCUACCUGGAUUUGCUGCCUGAUCAGAAUAAAGGAGCCAUGACAUCCCAUCAUGCCUCUGGGAUGCUCAUUGUCCUCAGUGUAUUCCUGAUUUUAUAUACACCACAAUGCAAUGGAGGAAGUAUUCUUGUGGUUCUUUUAGAUGGCAGUCACUGGAUCAAUAUGAAAAUCUUGCUUGAAGAACUUCAUGCUAGGGGACACAAUCUGACUGUGAUCAGGCCCUCCACGAGCUGGUACAUCCCUGAAAAGUCUGAUCUAUACACAUCCAUUACAGUUGAAAUGGCUGUAAAUUUUGAGCAGUUAUUAUGUGUUCCUACAGGAGCAGAUAAAGGUGCAAAGAGAGGGAGGACCACUGACCACCUUCAAACUCACCAAGGGUUUAAUAUCUUUGCUUUGCACAUUCACUGUGGUAUGAUGCUAUCAAACAUAUUUUUGAUGAUCAAAAUAUGAUCAAGAGAUUCCGAGUAUGAUCUGGCUCUAGCUGAUCCAGCUUUGGCCCCAGGGCUUAUUCUAGCCAAAUAUCUCAAGCUUCCCUUAGUGCUCAACGUACGCUGGAUCACCAGUGGAGAAGGCCGCUUUGUGUUAGCUCCCUCACCACUCUCUCAUAUCCCAGUGCCAGGAUACGGCUUAACAGACAAAAUGAAUUUCAUCCAGAGGAUCAAGAACAUUUUUUUUCCGCACCAUUUUAUUAUUUCAGCAGAAAUUUUUGGUGGAUCCAGUCUAUGACGCCAUGUGUGAGAAAUAUAUUGAAGGUGGAUGUGACAUCAUCUCACUUCUUCAGGAAGCAGACAUUUGGCUGUUCAGGUCAGAUUUUGUGUUUGAAUUCCCUCGCCCCACUAUGCCAAAUGUUGUCUAUAUAGGAGGAUUUCAGUGCAAACCAGCUCAGCCUCUGCCAGCAGAGCUGGAGGAGUUUGUUCAGAGCACCGGGCAACAUGGAGUGAUCAUCAUGACUCUGGGAACUCAUGUCAAUGCUUUGCCCAAAGAUGUUACAGAGGAAAUCGCCGGUGUCUUUGCCAAGAUGCCCCAGAAGAAACUGCGACUCCUUCACAAUGUCAGAUUACCUUGUGGGAGUAGUUGGACCAAACUCUAUUGGUAUUUCAAGUUUGAAAUCCCUGUUUGACCAGACAAACAUUUCAGAUGAGGUAAUAGAUGGCCUAAUCUAUUUGCAGUGUGAGAAUUUCCCUCACAUUUAUCCAAUACCAAGCCAAAUCACUGGAAAAAUUUUGGAUGGGUCCAUAAGAGCACAAAGUGCAUACUUUUUGAAGAAAAACAUCUUUCAGAUGUAUGAGAAAUUGAUUGGAGCCUGUCUGGAAAACGGCAGCCACUGGACCUUGUUUGUAAGUUGCACAGAUUUUGCACUCUCUCUAGUGCAUGAUACUUUUCAGUGUCCCUCAUUAGGAAGGCUCAAGGCCCAAGCCUACCAUAUCCAUCUUUUUACAAAACAGUUUUGUGACAUACCCAAGAGGACCAUAGUCUAUAUGAAUUCAUUUGGAGAGUCGGAGGUCAGAAAAAGUGCGGUGUUGAAAAACUGGAGCUCAUUUGCUUCAGCAAGAGGCUGCACUGGAGAGUGGACUUUGUCACAUGUGAGCCACCCACAUCAACAGGAUGGGAACUCAUGUGGAGUGCAUGUCAUAAUGUUUGCCCAAUCUCUCAUUGAGGGUAAAACACAUGUGGAGGAGUACAACACUGAAAUCCCAAAGCUCAGGUCCCGACUUUGCCACUACUUAUUUUCCUCAAUAGAUCGAACUAGGAAGUGCAGUCAGUGCUGGUGUGUGAUUGCAGCCAAAGACCGGGUGCAGUGCCAGAAAUGUGGUGCAUACAAGCACAUGCGUUGUUCAAAGUCUGUUUGUGGCAUCUGUAUCUUCUGUGAGAGUAAGUCACAAUAUAACUAAACAAUGUCCAAAAAUGUUUAAAGUGAAAGAAUUUUUGUAAUUUUGCCUUUGCACACCAGGACUGUGUAAUUAAAGUGGACGUUUCAAGAUCCAGUUUUUACACAAAACUAUUUUAGACAUAACUGUGUCGUAUUGUGGGGAUUUCCCUUCACAAUUAAAUUGAUAUAGUGCUGUUUAUAUCAUCACAGCAGAGGGAAAGGAGUUGUGCAGCAUAGUAGGUGGCUAUACAGGAGGAGCAAUAGAAGUAGCCAGCGAAGAAUGUCAUCAGGGAAAGCAUCAGGCAGCGAAUGAGAAAGGAAAAGUUCCUAAGGGAGAGGACAUCUGCAGCAAACCGACAAGUAACAGUGAGAUAGGAGGACUGACAGUCAGAGAUGAAGGUAAACAGACUGAAGACAAAGAAAAAGAAACAGAAGUAUACAGCACAAGUCUGAGUACAGAUAAUGCUGCUGCUGAUGAUGUUGACAGGAUCGAUGCAGAUACAGAAUUUCAAACUGAUUCAGAAGGAACUAGUACAGUUUACAGAGUGCAUGGUCGCUUAUCUGUACUAAGCUCAAAAAAGAAAACCUACACAAUAACAGAAGACGAGAUCAAGCGCAGAAUCCAAGCAGAGAACAUGUCAGUUCAUGUUUUCAGAGGUUUGAUUGGGGUAGGUAUACAUUUCAUGAUUUUGAUGUCACCUGAAAUAAAUCCGGGUUACUCGUAUCAAUGAAGUGACAAUGUGGCUGGAAAUUGUGCAUUUGCUGCAACAUAUACACAAUUACACCAUGUAAACAAAAGCAUGUGUGUGUGUG